AACGAACGCUGGCGGCAUGCCUAACACAUGCAAGUCGAACGAGAUCUUCGGGUCUAGUGGCGCACGGGUGCGUAACGCGUGGGAAUCUGCCCUUUGGUUCGGAAUAACAGUUGGAAACGACUGCUCAUACCGGAUGAUGACGAAAGUCCAAAGAUUUAUCGACAGAGGAUGAGCCCGCGUUGGAUUAGCUAGUUGGUGUGGUGAAGGCCCACCAAGGCGACGAUCCUUAGCUGGUCUGAGAGGAUGAUCAGCCAUACUGGGACUGAGACACGGCCCAGACUCCUACGGGAGGCAGCAGUGGGGAAUAUUGGACAAUGGGCGAAAGCCUGAUCCAGCAAUGCCGCGUGAGUGAUGAAGGCCUUAGGGUUGUAAAGCUCUUUUACCCGGGAUGAUAAUGACAGUACCGGGAGAAUAAGCUCCGGCUAACUCCGUGCCAGCCGCCGCGGUAA
rnacentral:rRNA from 1 species